rnacentral:rRNA from 1 species
GACGAACGCUGGCGGCGUGCCUAAUACAUGCCAGUCGAACGCUGAAGGAGGAGCUUGCUCUUCUGGAUGAGUUGCGAACGGGUGAGUAACGCGUAGGUAACCUGCCUGGUAGCGGGGGAUAACUAUUGGAAACGAUAGCUAAUACCGCAUAAGAGUAGAUGUUGCAUGACAUUUGCUUAAAAGGUGCAAUUGCAUCACUACCAGAUGGACCUGCGUUGUAUUAGCUAGUUGGUGGGGUAACGGCUCACCAAGGCGACGAUACAUAGCCGACCUGAGAGGGGGAUCGGCCACACUGGGACUGAGACACGGCCCAGACUCCUACGGGAGGCAGCAGUAGGGAAUCUUCGGCAAUGGACGGAAGUCUGACCGAGCAACGCCGCGUGAGUGAAGAAGGUUUUCGGAUCGUAAAGCUCUGUUGUAAGAGAAGAACGAGUGUGAGAGUGGAAAGUUCACACUGUGACGGUAUCUUACCAGAAAGGGACGGCUAACUACGUG